rnacentral:rRNA from 1 species
AUUGAACGCUGGCGGCAGGCCUAACACAUGCAAGUCGGACGGUAGCACAGAGGAGCUUGCUCCUCGGGUGACGAGUGGCGGACGGGUGAGUAAUGUCUGGGGAUCUGCCCGAUAGAAGGGGAUAACCACUGGAAACGGUGGCUAAUACCGCAUAACCUCGCAAGACAAAAGAGGGAGACCUUCUGGCCUCUGACUAACGGAUGAACGAAGAUGGGAUUAGCUAGUAGGCGGGGUAACGGCCCACCUAGGCGACGAUCCCUAGCUGGUCUGAGAGGAUGACCAGCCACACUGGAACUGAGACACGGUCCAGACUCCUACGGGAGGCAGCAGUGGGGAAUAUUGCACAAUGGGCGCAAGCCUGAUGCAGCCAUGCCGCGUGUAUGAAGAAGGCCUUCGGGUUGUAAAGUACUUUCAGCGGGGAGGAAGGCGAUGUGGUUAAUAACCGCAUUGAUUGACGUUACCCGCAGAAGAAGCACCGGCUAACUCCGUGCCAGCCGCCGCGGUAA